AACGAACGCUGGCGGCAUGCCUAACACAUGCAAGUCGAACGAGACGUUCGGGUCUAGUGGCGCUCGGGUGCGUAACGCGUGGGAACCUGCCCUUAGGUUCGGAAUAACUCCCCGAAAGGGGUGCUAAUACCGGAUAAUGUCUUCGGACCAACGAUUUAUCGCCUUGGGAUGGGCCCGCGUUGGAUUAGCUAGUUGGUAGGGUAAAAGCCUACCAAGGCGACGAUCCAUAGCUGGUCUGAGAGGAUGAUCAGCCACACUGGGACUGAGACACGGCCCAGAAUCGUACGGGAGGGAGCAGUGGGGAGUAUUGGACAAUGGGCGCAAGCGUGAUAAAGCAAUGUCGCGUGAGUGAUGAAGGGCGUAGGGUUGUAAAGCUCUUUUACACGGGAUGAGAAUGACAGUAACGGGAGAAUAAGCUCCGGCUAACUACGUG
rnacentral:rRNA from 1 species